rnacentral:lncRNA from 1 species
UGAGAUAAAUUAUGAAAGUCCUCAUCAGUCUGAGGCAAGAAAAGAACUUACUUGGGAGAUAUUUCUCACCCAAAUUCACAAUCAUCUGUUUUAGAAGUCAGUAACUUGGGGCGCAAGUUAUCCACUCUAAAAGACGUCUGCUAGAAUUUACAUUGCUAGUAGUGGCACGCUCAUGCACCAAAGAAAGCUGACUUAUCGACCAAACAAAUGGUCUCCAAGCCAGUGGGGAACUUCGCCCUUCCACCUCAGGAGUAGACACGAAAACGGGUGAACAACGAUCAGUUUGCUUUUCCUGAUGAACAACUCCCUUUGCUCCCUACUUAUCUCUUGGAAAGGUAACCUUCUUUGGUGCAGAGCUUCUCUGUAUGCGAAAAGUGGAUUUGAUCUUCUUUCCCUGGCUACAGAAAAAAUGGAGAAGUCCUCUUGUAAGACCUGCCUUUAUUAACUCCCUAUCAACUCCUCUAUGAUAGUUGAAAAUUUUGACUUUUCCCAAGUUAGAAAGUCACGUGGGGACUAUGUUGAGAAAAAAGAUCUGUUGAUUUGCCUUUUUUAGGGUAGAGAUCAAAUGGUGUGAAUUUUUCAGGAGCUGGGCUUUUAUCCAAAGCUGUGCGUGUCAGUUUUUUUAAUUGCCAAUAAUGGUUUUUUUUUUUCUUCAGAUCAUGACUAUAUUUGUAAUUUGCUCAAAAAGGUCUGGGCUUUUUUAGCAUCUUGGUUUUG